ACUCAGUGAAAUUGAACUCGCUGUGAAGAUGCAGUGUACCCGCGGCAAGACGGAAAGACCCCGUGAACCUUUACUAUAGCUUGACACUGAACAUUGAGCCUUGAUGUGUAGGAUAGGUGGGAGGCUUUGAAGUGUGGACGCCAGUCUGCAUGGAGCCGACCUUGAAAUACCACCCUUUAAUGUUUGAUGUUCUAACGUUGACCCGUGAUCCGGGUUGCGGACAGUGUCUGGUGGGUAGUUUGACUGGGGCGGUCUCCUCCUAAAGAGUAACGGAGGAGCACGAAGGUUGGCUAAUCCUGGUCGGACAUCAGGAGGUUAGUGCAAUGGCAUAAGCCAGCUUGACUGCGAGCGUGACGGCGCGAGCAGGUGCGAAAGCAGGUCAUAGUGAUCCGGUGGUUCUGAAUGGAAGGGCCAUCGCUCAACGGAUAAAAGGUACUCCGGGGAUAACAGGCUGAUACCGCCCAAGAGUUCAUAUCGACGGCGGUGUUUGGCACCUCGAUGUCGGCUCAUCACAUCCUGGGGCUGAAGUAGGUCCCAAGGGUAUGGCUGUUCGCCAUUUAAAGUGGUACGCGAGCUGGGUUUAGAACGUCGUGAGACAGUUCGGUCCCUAUCUGCCGUGGGCGCUGGAGAACUGAGGGGGGCUGCUCCUAGUACGAGAGGACCGGAGUGGACGCAUCACUGGUGUUCGGGUUGUCAUGCCAAUGGCACUGCCCGGUAGCUAAAUGCGGAAGAGAUAAGUGCUGAAAGCAUCUAAGCACGAAACUUGCCCCGAGAUGAGUUCUCCCUGACCCUUUAAGGGUCCUGAAGGAACGUUGAAGACGACGACGUUGAUAGGCCGGGUGUGUAAGCGCAGCGAUGCGUUGAGCUAACCGGUACUAAUGAACCGUGAGGCUUAACCUU
rnacentral:rRNA from 1 species